rnacentral:rRNA from 1 species
CAGCCCGCGGGAAUACGGAGGAUCCAAGCGUUAUCCGGAAUCAUUGGGUUUAAAGGGUCCGUAGGCGGUCUUGUAAGUCAGUGGUGAAAGCCCAUCGCUCAACGGUGGAACGGCCAUUGAUACUGCAGGACUUGAAUUAUUGGGAAGUAACUAGAAUAUGUAGUGUAGCGGUGAAAUGCUUAGAGAUUACAUGGAAUACCAAUUGCGAAGGCAGGUUACUACCAAUUGAUUGACGCUGAUGGACGAAAGCGUGGGUAGCGAACAGGAUUAGAUACCCCAGUAGUCCCUGUCUCUUAUACAC